rnacentral:lncRNA from 1 species
UGAAUUACUAAAAGAGUAUAUUAUAUUUUUUCAAUCAUGGAAAACUGAAUUUUGGACUAGCUUGUAGCUGUGUCAUUUUAUGUUCCUGAAUUUUGCCAUUCUGGUUGUUUAUCGUUGGUAUUGAGGAGCUGGAAAAGGUAGAGAAUUAUUUUUAGUCACAUGAAUAUAUGAGUACCUAACACCUGAAUCUUACAUAUGAUCAUUACGAAUGUUUAUAACCAUUUAAAAGUUUUGGAUAAGAUAUUACCCUCUUCCUUUUCCUGAUCAAAGAUUUAGUCACAUGAAAAAAAUGAAGUCCCUAGUACAAUAUUAACUAGAAUAACGGAGAAAAGUAUAGGAAAAGUGGUUAUGCUUGCUAUGUCAUGUGCUGUAAACUUGAUGAAUUGGGUUUAUCUUGAAUGUGAGGGAAAAGAAGAAUUUAUAAUUUCCUAAAUUUUUUUAAUUAAAAAAUAUAUAAAAAUCUUUGAAAUUUUCUUUGUGUCACAUGUCAACUUCUCUGCCGCAUAGUGGAUUAUCUAAACUCAAACUUAAUAUUCACUUUUGUGUACAUGUGUGCAGAUUACAUACAGUGUACCAUUUGCUCUGGCAUCUAUAUUCUCCAGCACUUCAGGAGCAGGCCAAGGUAAAUUAUCAUAUAGUCCAUUUAAAUAAACAAAUUGUAUCAAAUGUGUCUCCAUUCAUCUAUUAAAUCAUACCCACAAUUAACCAAAUUACAAUAUGUAACAUUCCUCUCUUCUUUCAAAAAUUUCAGGUUUAUCAUUGGGAACUCUCAAUCUUGCAAUUGUAAUUCCACAGGUUAGAAACCAUUUAAAGAUUAACAUAUAUAAAAAAUAUUAAAAUAAUUUAUUUUCAGUAUUUGAAUGUUUGUGUAUUUAUGUGUAUACAGAUGAUUGUAUCAGCAAUAAGUGGACCGCUCGACGGUGCAUUUGGCGGUGGCAACUUGCCGGCGUUUGUGAUGGGCUCCAUAUUUGCGGCCGUGAGUGGUGUAUUGUCAAUUGUAUUGUUGCCAACACCUCAGCCACAGGAAUUGGCCAAGGCUGCAACAGUUGGUGGUUUUCACUAGUUUAUGGAACUUUUCUUGUUUUUUGUUUGUUUGCUUUUGUGUGGAAAACAAACGAAAGGUAGAGAGAUGAAGCUGCAUAUAUGUAGUAGUUGUGUGUACUUAUGCCUAAUGAGUAAUAAAAGUAUUUAACUCAUUUUAGUUUUUAAAUUUCAUGUGUGCUGUACAAAACCAUGUGCUAUUUAUCAUCUUGGGUUCAGCUACAACAAAAAUAAAUAAUUAUAAUUAUCUACACUACUAUCUAAAGAUAAAAAAAUGUCAAAAAGGUAUUUAAGUAUUUGAAAUAUUUCAUUAUCCAAUUUAUCCUUAUUAUUAUGUAUAAGUGCAAAAUGUACUUCAAUAAUAUUGAGAUGAUUGAAAAUGUAUAAUUUCAUUUAUAUACUUAAAUGGUGAUAAUUAAACAUGUUAUGAAACACAUACAUUAUUUUGGGUUAUACAAUUCACUUUUGAAGAAUGGUGGUAAUAGAAGAUGUUUAUGAAAAUUUCCGUCGUUUAAUUUUCAUGUUCCCCUCGUACGCGUAACUAUUAUUGCAAUAAUUUUCAUGUUCCCCUCGUCGUUUAAUUUUCAUGUUCCCCUCGUUUAAUUGAGUGUAUGAUUAAUUUAGGUUGUUUCUAAAAUAAAGAACUAAUAUUCUUUCCAACACUCAAAAACUAAAAAAGUUAUAUUUUUAUUAUGCCUUAAUCUAACUUGUUCAAAUCACGAAUAUCAAACUUUUAAAGAAGUAUCAAAACACAUUCAAAUUAAAAAUUUCAAACGCAUAAUAACACUAAUAAUAUUAAUCAGAAAUCUUAUGGGAGAAUGCCUCUUUCUAUCUUAUGUACAAAACAAUUUCUCUUACGACCAGUCACCAGUAUCCAAUCAUUUAUUUCUUAUUAAAUUUUAGAAUAAUUACAAUUGUAAUAUGAAAGUGUUAUAAAAUUAUACUUAUGGAUUGGACCUUAAAAUCUAACCCAUCGUCAAAAAAAUACUCCCAUUUGAAUCGCUCAUACAUCAUAACAUGUGAAAACCAACCAAUUAUGGUGAAAAUCGUCGAACUAGACGAUUUAGUACGCAAUUUUUUAUAAAAAAAUCCACAGAGGAACCUCAUUGUUCUAUAAAAAUUAAAGGAAUAGAAAAUAGAAGUGAAUAGCUCUUAUUCUCUUUUUAUUAGUUCUUAGAUAUUUAGUUGGUUUGAGAAUUAAGUGCAACACUAAUGAGCUUUCAUGGUUAUAAUCUCUCCUGUUGCAAAGGUUUUGAUUUAGGAUUAAUGUCGUGAAGCAUCGAGGAUGAAAGAAGACUAUCUAGACAUCACAAAAAAGUGACAAACUCUUCACAAAUGCUUCUAGAGGCACAGUAAAAUAGCCCCCACAUAGAAGAAUCGCAAGGCAUGACAAUCAAUAUUGUGAGAUCUUUAUCAACGUGGUAAGUGAAAAAAACAUAUAAGUAAACAUCAAAUUUGUACCCAAGUGCUAGUUGUGAGGCUCACGAGUCCUGUAUGUUGCAUUUUCAGCUACUUUUAGGGUAUCUUUCUAAAAAAAACACAUGCGUAGCCAUAGGAAAAUAUUUAGAAAGAAUAGAAAUCAGAAAUGCCUAGAGAGAUAGGUGAGAAGACAUUAAUUAAGGAGGGAUUCCACACAUCAAAGGAAGGAAUUGUAGAGAGGAAGAUUACCCUUUACAUACAUAUCUAUGUCUCUCAUCUAGUUUACUCUUCUCUUGUCGAUAUAUAUUUUGUUUUUUAUGUCUAGCUAAUCAUCUUCUAGGGAUUUGAUGGAAUUGGUUAAUAUUAUGUGAUUUGCAAUUAAUUAUGAAUGGGUUCUUCUUGUUAUGUUAAUUAUUUGAUUACGUUAUUCAUAGAAGUAGCUAGCUAAUCUAUGAUUUAGGAAUUUAAUUCUUCAAUUGGGAAAUUUGGGAUUGCAUUACUCUCUUUAAUUGAAUCAUCAAUUGUAGUUGGUCAAAAAAAGUUUAAUAAUUAAAUUUUUAACUUUGAUAUAUUUUCUUCACUCAAUCAUAAUUUAUAGUAUAUAGAGUGGUACAAAUUAUGAGACAACAUAUGUGCUCAAUUUAUAAGAAACUUUUGUGUUAGUGUAUAGAAUGUGUGAUUCCAUUGUUCUUAUUGUAGCAAUUGUAAAAUUAUGAAGGUUUGCUAAAUUUGGAAUGUAAAAUAAUUGCCUCAAAGAAUUGAUGGUAUUUUCCUGAAUUGUUGUUAACACAUGAAGAGUUCUAUGCAUACUCCUUCUUAUUGUUAUCUCCAAGGAAACCAUUGUUAUUAAAACCAUACUUGUUAUUAAACCGGUCAGAGUAAUGAUAUAAUGAGUUUAAUCGGUGGUUUAGAAAUUAAAUUACAUUUCGGUUAAACCAGACAUAUCAGCUUAUAUUUAUUUAUAUAUAUAAACUUAUAAAAAAAAUUCAAAUAUGUAGAUACUCAAAUUUAUAAUCCAUAUUCAUUAUCUACUCAAAAUUCACAUAAACAAAUAAUUUUAAGUCUUUAACAAAUUCAAAGUCUAAAUUUCAAAACAUAUAUCAAUCCAAAAGUAUCAGUUAACAAACACAAAAUAUAAAUAAGUGAUACAAGUUCAUAACUUAUCCUACAAAACAAAUAAAUUUGGAGUUUUAACAUUUAAACCAAUGAGUCAAAGUUGUCUCAUAUCGAGACUCCAUUUUUGCACCAAAUCUUAUCUUCAGACAGUUGACUCCAAUAUUACAUAAAUGUCACUGAGAUUGCACACCAAUGUUGGGAACCAAAAGAUGUAAUCUACGUAUGCUUUGGAAGCAUGUCCAAAGUGUUGAAGAAUGGUUGGAAAGAUGGGUCACCAUGUAAUGAGUUUUUAAAUUUUUAAGUUUUAAAAAAAAAUGUAUAAACCAGUCUGUUUAGUCAAAUUCCGGCCGGUUCACCGAUUUUGACCAGUUGACAACUGAUUUUGAUUGGUUUUGAUACAGGGUCGGUUCAACAUCCGUACCAUAUCGGUUAGGGGUCCGAUUCGCCAGUUUUUCGGUCGAACCGACCGGCACGGUACAGUACGGUUUUUAUAUCACUGAAGGAAACCAUGUCCCAAGCCUUUCUACCCUUAUUACUGUUGCAGAAAAAAGACAGAAUGUGCAUAUAUUGGAACUAUGUUGCUGAGAAAGAAAGAAAUAGAAUUAGUGUAGGAUGAGAGAAAGAGAAGUAGCCUUUAGUGUGUAAGAGAUGAGAGAGUAAAGUGAUAGAGAUUCUGGAAAGUAAAACAAGUGUAUAUACAUCAAAAGCAUUUACAAGCUAUAUAUAGCAAUGUGCCAACUACUUUCCAAAAAUAGUAAAACUACCAACAAACUAAACUAACCAAACUUUCUAUAUCUAGAAACUAUCUAUAUUUAUCAAAACUGAAUUACAUUUAACACUUCCCCUUAAUUCAGAUUUGCUUUCAAACACNNNNNNNNNNNNNNNNNNNNNNNNNNNNNNNNNNNNNNNNNNNNNNNNNNNNNNNNNNNNNNNNNNNNNNNNNNNNNNNNNNNNNNNNNNNNNNNNNNNNAAGCUUAAGUUGAUCCUUGCUAACUUGAUCUCUAAGAAAAUGAAACCUUGUCUCUAUAUGCUUGCUUCUCCCAUGUGCAAUAGAAUUCUUAUAAGCAUGCAUUCCCCUUCUUUUUUCAACUUCAAUUCAGUGAGAAGUUUCCCUAGCCAAGAAGCUUGUUGAACAGCAGUACAAGCAGAGAUAUAUUCUUCUUCACAAGAUGAGAGUGCCACAACAUCUUAUUUCUUUGAAGACCAAGAGAUUGGUCCCUCACCAAGAAAAAACAUGUAGCCACUUGUGCUUUUUCUGUCACAUUUAUCCCCACACCAAUCUGCAUAACUGAAUCCAAGCAUUCUGUGAUUUUUGUCACUGUUUUUGAUAGGAAGUAUCAAGCCAAACUCCAAUGUCCCCUUCACAUAUCUGAGUAUUCUUUUAGCUUGCAUCAGAUUGGAUUUCUUUGGUGACUCCAUGUGUCUACUUAUCACACCUACACCAUAUGCAAUAUCUGGCCUUGUGUUGCAGAUGUAUCUUAGGCAACCAACUAUCUGCCUAUAGAGAGUGUUAUCAACUGCAAAAUCUUGUUCUAGUUUCUCACAACCUGCAUCAGCUUCAAUAGGUGUAGAGACUGCAUUGCAUCCUUCCAUAUUGAACCUCUUCAAUACAUCAUUGAUGUACUUCUCUUGGUGCAUUAGGAUUCCCUCUUUGACUCUUGAGAAUUCUAUCCCAAGGAAAUAGGAUAACUCUCCCAAGUCACUCAUUUCAAACUCAGCCUUCAUUUCUGCUUUGAACUCACAAAUUUCCUCGAAUUUCCUCAAGCUUAGUUCCAGUUACGAGUAAGUCAUCCACAUAGAGACAAAUUACUAGAAGAUUCUGAACAGUUGAGCCUUUCACAUAUACACCAUACUCUGAUAUGCAUUUCAGAAAGCCAAGCUUCAAUAGGAAUCCAUCUAUGCUUUUGUUCCCAGCCCUUGGAGCCUGCUUGAGACUAUAAAGGGUUUUAUGCAGUUUAUAUACUUGAUGCUCUUUGCCAAUUACUUCAAAACCAGGUGGUUGUUUGACAAAUACCACCUCAUCUAAUGGUCCAUUUAAGAAUGCAGACUUAACAUCCAUUUGGUGUAUGUGCCAAUUGUGAUAGCUUGCCAAGGAAACUACUAAUCUAAUUGUUUCCAACCUUGCAACAGGUGCAAAGACUUCACUAUAGUCAAGUCCUUCCUGGAAACCUUUUGCAACUAGUCUUGCUUUUUGCUUCACAAUUUCACCCUUUGGAUUCACCUUGAUCUUGUAUACCCAUCUAACAUCAAUAACUUUCUUAUUUUCUGGUAGAUUAGUUAGAUACCAAGUGCGAUUCCUUUCAAUAUAGUUGAGUUCUUCUCUCAUAGCUUGCAUCCACUAACUUGAUUUCACUGCCUCAUGAAAACUUAUUGGUUCCAUUUCAGCUAAGAAAGCCAUGUGCACCAAUUUUCCUUCUGCAGUGAUGCCUGAGUCAGAGAAGAUCUCAUAGUCAUUCAACCUUGUUGGUGGUUGUCUUGAUCUAUGGGAUCUUCUUUCUAGUUGAGCAUCUAUAUCUGCUAUAGCUGGUUGUUGUUGGACUUGAUCAUCUAUAUGCAUUGUAGCACUUCUUUCUUGAACACUAUUCUGUCCAGUCCAAUCCCAACAUUGAGUCUCAUCAAUCUUUACAUCUCUGCUCACAACAAUUUUCUGAAUCAAGGGAUUAAACAACCUAUAAGCACCUGUGUUGUGAUAGCCAAGAAGAAUCAAUUUCUCACCCUUGUCAUCAAGCUUUCUUCUCUGCACAUCAGGUAUAUGUUUGUAACAAACAAAACCAAAAAUUCUGAGAUGACUUAUAUUGGUUUCUUGCCUGACCAAGCUUCCUCAUGGGUGAUUUUCUCAAGUCUACUAGAUAGACAUCUAUUCAAGAUGUAUGCAGAGGUUGAGACUGCUUCUCCCCAAAAUUUCUUUGGCAACUUCUUUGUUUUCAACAUACUCCUAGCCAUGUUUAGGACUGUCCUAUUCAUCCUUUCUGUAGUUCCAUUAGGCUCUAGAGUAUAGGGUGCUAUGACUUCAUGAAUUACUCCUUCCUUGUCACAGAAGUCUCUCCAUUCAGUUGAGGUGUAUUCUCCACCACCAUCAGUUCUGAGUGCUUGCAGUUUCAAUUCCUUCUGCCUUUCUACCUGAGCCUUAAAUCUGAGAAAGGUAAGAAACACAUCACUCUUCUUUCUAAUGAGAUGUAUCCAUACCUUCCUUGUGUAAUCAUCUAUGAAGGUCACAAAAUACUUGUUUUCCCUCAAUGAUUCUUCCUCAAAUGGCCCACACACAUCUGAGUAAACCAGUUCCAAAGGUCUAGAUGAUCUAGUAGGUAUGUGUGCACCAAAAGCGUUCCUUGUCUGCUUGCUUGUGAGACACUCAUCACAUAGUUCACUAGGGAUAGCAAUAGAGGGCAGACCAGAAACAAUACCAACUCUGCUCAGAAGUUCAAGACCUUUGAAGUUCAGAUGGCCAUACAUUUGAUGUCACACUCAAUUUUCUUGCAUAACAUUGGUCAGAAGGCAAUUGUGAUUGUUGAUUUGAAUGUCAAUUUUGAAGGUUCUGUUAUUGGAUAGGGGAGCCUUCAAGAGCAGACUCUUUUUGACAUCAAACACUCUUAGCACCUAAUUCUCCAUUGUCAUUGUGUACCCCUUUUCAAGUAACUGACCAAGGCUAAGCAAGUUACUUUUCAUUUUGGGCACAUACAACACAUUGUUGAUGCAAGAAGACUUGCCAUCAUUCCUUUGUAUAGAGAUAUCACCAAUUCCUUCAGCACCAAUGACACUAUGGUCUGCGUUUUAGCAGAUUCAUCAAGCUUCACAAACCAUUAUUUGUGUCCAGUCAUAUGAUUUGAACAACCAGUGUCAAGGUACCAAUAAUCACUCUUGACACUCUCUUUUUCUGUUGUAACCAUAAGAAGAACUUGUUCAUCCUCUGAUUCUCCUCCAUGAGCCAUACUAGCUUCAACUUCUGAUCCACUAGAUUGCUUGAACCUGCACUCAGAGGCAUAGUGUCCAAGGUUCUUGUAAUUGUAACAUUGGAUCUUAUUUUUAUCAAUCUUUUUCUUAUUCUUUCUGAAUGACUGAUCCUGGUGAAGCUGUUUCUGUGCAGAGACCUCAUUUCUUCCUCUAUCAUUCUUCCAAUUUCCUCUGGAUUUUUUGUGAAAGUUUCCUUGCCCAGAGUUCCUUCUGUUGAAUUGUGCUUGAAGGGCCUGGUUAGGAUUUCUUUCUUGGUCCAUUUCCUUUAUUCUCUGCUCCAACCACCAACUGAUCCUUCAUUACUUCUAUGGAAUCCCCUUCCUUCAUUUGCAGAAGCUCAUACUCUCUUCUCAAGGUCUGCAAUUUGACCUUCUUCACUUUCUCAGCUCCAGCAUAACUCUUUUCAAGAUUGUCCCAAGCCUCUUUUGCUAUUUUGGCAUUGGCAAUCUUCUCAAAGUUUGCUCCAUCCACACAUUGGUGGAUUAUGAACAAAGCUUUGCAAUCCUUCUUCUUGCAUUCUCUGAGUGUUGAUCUCUGUGUCUCAGUUGCAUCCUCCCCAAUGAAUUGGUACCCAUCUUGCACAAUUUCGAGCACUUCUUGGUACCCCAACGGAACUCUCAUUUGAACACUCCAUCGUUCAUAGUUCUUUCCAUCUAGGAUAGGUAGUGUCAUGGUGAAACCACUAUUGGUCGCCAUUUUUAACUUUCUUGCCACAGACCCAAGAUCAAGAUAAACACAGCUAUGAUACCACUGUUGCAGAAAGAAGACAGAAUGUGCAUAUAUUGCAACUAUGUUGCAGAGAAAGAAAGAAAUGGAACUAGUGUAGGAUGAGAGAAAGAGAAGUAGCAUUUAGUGUGUAAGAGAGGAGAGAGUAAAGUGAUAGAGAUUCUGGAAAGUAAAACAAGUGUAUAUACAUCAAAAGCAUUUACAAGCUAUAUAUAGCAAUGUGCCAACUACUUUCCAAAAAUAGUAAAACUACCAAAAACUAAACUAACCAAACUUUCUAUAUCUAGAAACUAUCUAUAUUUAUUAAAAUUGAAUUACAUUUAACAAUUACAACCAUUGUUUCUAAUCAAUUGCUAUACGUUCAAAAUCAACAAAUCUUUAAUGUAAUUUAAAAAAAAUUAAUCACCAUAAGCUGUUUUCUUUUCGAAUUGAUUAUAAUUUUUUGUAGUGGAUUAUAAUUAAUUUUUGAUUGUUUGUAAUUAACAAAGUUAUCUGUAAUAACUGUUGUCAGUAUUUACUACAUUAUUUUGACUAGUUUUCAUGAAAUGUGACCAGGCUUAAAGCCUUAAAAGACAUUAUGUAAGAAGCUAAACAAGUUGAAACAAAAGCAGUGCUUCUGAAAAUUUAUCAGAGCCAAACAACAUCCUUGAAUUUAGUGAACAAAAUUUCUAUUAUGCAUACUAGCGUGUGCCUGUCAACCCGCUUUUCUAUUGUUUGUAAUGUGUAUUCUACAUAUUAAGUUGUAUUAUAUAUUGUAAUUUGCAGUUGAAUAUAUAUUCGUUUGAGGUAAUUGUUCAAUCUUAAAGAAAUGAUACAUAUACAAUUCUGUUCAUCAAGAAUAAAGUCUUGAUAUCUUCACUUAAUUUUAUUUUCUAGCGUGUUAACAGACACUACCGGGUCUGUCAACCCAAUUUCCUAUCGUUUGUAUUGUGUAUUCUACAUAUAAAAGUGAUUUUUAUCUAAUUAAUUAAAAUCUAUUGAGUAAAUCUAUUGCAUGGUCACAAUGUAUAUCCAUUAAAUUAAAAAAUAGGAAUGCAUGAAAUAUAUUGCAUUGGUCACAAUGUAUGCCAUUGAGUAAAGAGUAUGCGAAUAUUUGACAUUUAAAACAUCCAGAUUACACAUUACAAACAAUAUGAAAGCGGGUUGACAGACACCGUAGUACCUGUCAACACGCUAGAAAAUAAAAUUAAGUGAAGAUAUCAAGACUCUAUUCUUGAUGAACACAAUUGUACAUGCAUCAUUUCUUUAAGAUUGAACAAUUACCUCAAACGAAUAUAUAUUCAACUGCACAUUACAAUAUAUAAUACAACUUAAUAUGUAGAAUAUACAUUACAAACAAUAGGAAAGCGGGUUGACAGACACGGUAGUGGCUGUCAACACGCUAGUAAAGAUAAAAAUAGAAGUUAUAAAAUGAAAUUAGAAGUUAUAAAAUAAAAUCAGGAGUUAUAAAAUAUGAAAUAAAUGUUUAUUGGUAUAAGUAUAUAUAAAUAUGAAAUUAGAAGUUAUAAAAUAAGAAUAGAAAGUUAUAAAAUAAGAAAUAAAUGUUUAUUAAUAUAAGAAUAUAUAAAGAUGAAAUUAGAAGUUAUAAAAUAUGAAAUAGGAAAACCCAAAAUAACUUCAUGAAAGUUAGGUUAGGUUUUUCCUUUAUUAAGUAAUAUAGAUAUGCAACUUAUAGUUAAUAUAUUUGAGGUGGUUAUAUAUGAUUAUAUGAUUUUUUUAAAUUAAAUUUUUGAAGGGCAAAAUAGGAAUAUAUAAAUUAUAUCAUGGUGGUGAUUACACCAUGUUUUGGCUUUAUAUAUAGUAUAGAUACAUAUAGAAUUCUGGCACGAGUACUUCAAAAAUCAAAUCUAGCAAGUUGUGUAAAGUGGAGACAACAUAGGAUAGAGAAAGACUCUAAGGAAUCAACAAUAGUUACAUUAUUUUCUUAUUUACCCAAAGUAUCAUUUAUCAAAUUCAUCAUACCACGUAUCAGAUAACUAUGGAAUUGACAUUCCGUUGUUCAGAUCCUAGUGCCCACUCGACCAGAAACUUCACUCUAACAACUUAUGACCCCAAGGCAGAACCAAAAAGCCUUUAGACUCUGGUAUCUAACUUGACUAUCUAAUAAGUACAUAGGAAUUCAAGGACUAAGUUCACAAUAAUUGAUUUUAAAGACUACUUUACUAAUGUAGUUUACAGUAACUGGAUUUAAAAUUGAUGGCUUAAUGUCCUCUUCAUAUAAGAGAACAGAUACAGCAUUAUAAGAAACAUGAAUGAUAACUAAUUCAUGCAGUUUAUAAGUUACAUGAGUAAUUUUUUUAUGGACUAGAGUUCUGCAAAACUAUUUAUAGAUGCCCCAAUGCAAGAAAAAUGGCAAGUACAUGAUUAAUUGGAUUCAUGGUUUUAGCAAUUCAUGUCCAUGAUUAAAUGGUUCUUCAAAACUGCAGGAAACAUAACAAACAGGAAUGCACAACUUACAUAAUUGGAAAAUGCAAAAAAUAUAGGAUGAUAUUAAGUUGAGAAACUAACACUAUUACUAACAGAUUCACAAGCAAAACAGGGUCUUAGCACACCUCUCACAAAAACCACAGGGACAAAUUAUAAGCAAAUAUAACAUUAUUACAUUAUUAUAUAAAGAGUAAAUUACACUGACACCCAUGAGUUUUAGUGAAAUUACACAAACCACCCCUCACUUUUCUACACCUACACAAACCUCCCCUAUUUUUUAACUUUCAUUACACUGACCACCCCUACAUAAGAAGUAAGUGUAAUCUUUUAAACAACAAAAAAUGUGAUAAAAAUGCAAAUAAGCUAAACAAAAUAUGAUAUAUUGUGGAGACACGUCCAAAUAAUAUAUGACGUCAAUAUUUCUUUAUUAUUUUUGAUUCGUUAUACUAUAUUAUAAGAGCGAUUUAAAUAAUAUUUCUUUAGAAUUGUUGAUGCAUUUUGUAACAAAAAAUAAUAAAGAUAUAUUGAUUUGUAUAUUAUUUAGACUUCUCUACACAAUAUAUCAUGUUUUGUUUAACUUAAUUGUAUUUAUCACAUUUUUUGUUUAAAAUAUUACACUUUUUUCUUAUACAGGGGUGGUCAAUGUAAUGAAAGUUAAAAAAUAGGGGAGGUUUGCGUAGGUGUAGAAAAGUGAGGGGUGACUUGUGUAAUUUCACUAAAACCCAGGGGUGUCAAUGUAAUUUACUCUUAUAUAAAGAAUAAUUAAAUAACGAAGUCAAAUCAAAUCCUUCUAGGCUUUACCAAAAAAAUAUCCUUCUAGGCUUUACCAAAAAAAUAUCCUUCUAGGCUCAAUAUGCUGAUUAAUUGCCAACAAAAAUGGGCAACAACAAAAUGAUUUCACGAGUUUUAUAGAAAUAUAAGAUGUUUGUGAUGAUGAAGGGACUUAAGGUGCAAUUUUCCUAGAUCAGCUUGAAGUUUAAAAUAAUGGGAAUGGAUAGAACUAGAAGUCACGUAAAGUGAAAGAUUACAAUAGAUAGAAAAGAAAAGAUGCUAAAUAUUUUUGAAAUGAAUCAUGCAAUUAUGAAAGUAAUGUUAAGUAAGGUAUUAAAGCAACCAACCAGCUAAUAUAUGAGAGGUCCAAACAAACAACAUCAGGAUAAAUUAUAACGCUUAAGGGUUGUCACAGCUGUCUGUUUGCUGCAAUAAAAUAUUGAAGACAUUGAUGAUGAGAAUGUAAAAAAUAAAAAUUGUAAACUGAAUGAACCUUAAAAUUUAGAUUAAAAGAAGAAAUAAUGAGCUUCUUCUAUUUGGCACAAUUGUCAUGUUGUUUAGGAUGAAUUAGCGCAAUGAUAAGAUUAUUGCGUAUUGUUUAGUGAUCACGAGGUCAGGAUUUCAAAUCCUGAAAAUAGUUUUUUUAUUUGUGGGAUAAGGUUGAAUAUAUCUACCAUCUCCAGAUUCUAAUAAGUGAGAGGCUCCUGUAGUGAAAGACUAAAUACAAGAGACAAAUUAAAAAAAAACAAAAAAGAAAAAUAAGAGUUAGUAAAAAUCCCAAAUGCAAUUAACUCAAGAAUAACACUGAAUGGGUAAAUGCAUACCUCAGGUGUAGUUAGAGGUAUCAAAACGGACUAACGGACGAGUUCAGGCUAAAUCGGGUCGAGCUAAAAAACUCAGAUACAAUUUAUGCAUAUCAAAUUGUAGCCCAAACCUGCCCUAAGCGGGUUGCAGGUUGUGGCGGGCCGACCCACAUAAUAUUAAAAAAAUCAUUUAAAUUUUAACUUAUUUAAUCUACUUAAUAUAUAUAUAUAUAUAUAUAUAUAUAUAUAUAUAAUUUGAUAUUAAUGUAUAAUUUUUUUAACACACUUCCUAUGUCUAAUACAACCAAACUUAUAGAACUAAUAUGUAUUGUUUUGAGUUAAGACAUGAAGUCCACAUAUAUAAUUUUUAACAUAACUUAUUUAUUAAAUAUCUCAUUUUUAUUGGACUCUCACUCUAUAACACAAUAUAAUUUGGAAUUCAGUAUAAUAUAAAAAGUUUUAGACACUACCAAAAAUAUUAUCCUUUGUAUAUUCUUUAUCAACACUUUUAUUAUGAACUAUUAUAUAAAAUUUGGUUGUGUGGAGCUAUCUAUGGGAAAAAAUUAUGUUGUCUUUUAAUUUUAUUGCAAAAGUUAUUUUCUUUAUUAUAUUUUUUUUGUAGAAAUUAAAUCUAGUUAGGUACACAAUUAAGAAAGGAAAAGUGAAAUCUAUAUGGUUUAAUGUCUUCUAAUUUGAUUUGAUACAUUAUUUUUUAUUGGGCUUAAAAUGAUAUUAUGAAAAAUUGGAAAAAUAAUAUAAUGUUUAACUUUAUAACAUUAUUGUAAUUUAUAAAUAUUUAUGGUAAACACAUUACUCUAUUUUUAAUUCAAAGUUCAUAACAUAAUAUUUAUUAUAUAUUUUUUAUUAUAAGUUGUUUGGUAAAACAAUUUUUACCUAAGGCUUAUUACCAAACCAAAGAUUCCAAAAAAGAUUAAAAAAAUAAGGAAAAACGGGUAGCUCAAGCCCGCCCAGGUAAGCCCGGCUCGAACCCGGUUUUCAUAUAGCCCGGAUGCAAUAAAAAGUGUCUAAAAUGAUACCCAAACCCUAUAAAUUCCGAGCUUUGGCGGGUCAGCCCAACCGAGCUCGUCCGUUUUGACACCUCUAGUUGUAGUGAUCAAUUAACUUAAAAAUAAUUAAUUAUUUGUCUUUUAUAUUACUUUCCAGAAAUAGUAGUUAGUUAGCUUGUCGAUUUGAUAGUUUUAACUAACUUACUAUAUAAGGCAAAGUAUUAUGUAAUUGAUGUGUAGAAUCAUUAAUCAAUUUCUCACUUUACAAUUUACAAAGUUCUCUCAAAUUCUCUCUUUCUCUCUUUCUCUCUUUCAUUUAUGUUCCAAAAUCGUUAUCAACUUCUUCUCCAUUCUUCACCUUCAUUUCUUCAACAAUGGUGAGUAGAGACUUUCACAUGGUAUCAAAGUUUUUUCAUUGAAGAGGCUCUGCUACAAAUCUGAUGCGCUGUGAUUUCUUAUUCUACUUGGUGAAGUUUUGAUUUUUUAUCCUCUUCCUCUUCCUCUUUCUUAAGAAUUUGCGAUUAUGCAAUUCUAGGUUUUGUGAUUUUAUAAUUCAAGUUUCUGUGAUUCUGUUGAAGUUGAUUUUGUUCAAGCCGUGAUUUUAAUUGAAAUUGACCUAAAAUUAAAGAAAUGGAAAAUUGUGUUAUAAAUGUAAUGAAUCUGAUUCAGGAUCCUAUUUAUCCUUUCUUCCUUCAUCCUAACGAAAAUCUUGGAGUUGUCUUGGUUUCGAAUAUGUUGAAUGGAAAUAAUUAUCAUUCGUGGUCUCGUGCAAUGGCUAUAUCGUUGAAAAUGAAAAACAAGUUGCCAUUCAUUGAUGGAUCAUUACCUAAACCUCAAAUUGAUGAUCCUAUGUUCAUAGCUUGGGAUAAGUAUAACACUUUAGUUCUCUCUUGGUUAAUACAGUCCACGGGUUCCACUGUCGUGCAAAGUGUAACAUGGAUGGAGACUUCUUUUGAAAUUUGGCAUGAUUUUCAUGAAAGAUACUACUAGGGAGAUGUCUAUCGUAUUUCAGAAUUGCUUACUGAAAUUCACACCUACAAUCAAGAUGACCUCUCGAUUGGAUCUUAUUUCACUCAUGUCAAAGGUUUGUGGCAAGAGUUUGAUAACUUUGGGCAUAUUCCUUUUUGCUCCUGUAUCAACAAAUGUGAGUGUGGUUAUACAUUUAAACCAUAUAGAGAAAAUGAUUAUGUUAUAUGCUUCCUCAAAAGUCUCAAUGAGCAAUAUGAGAGUGUUAGGUCACAUAUUAUGUUGAUGGAUCCUCUGCCUACAAUAAAUAAGGUGUAUUCUUUGCUAGUUCAGCAAGAGAGGCAUCUAAAUAUGCACAUAACUUAACCAAAAAUGUUGAUAAGCGCUUGAUCAUGGAAACACUUCUGAGAAUGGAAGUAAUUCCUAUAUGUCCAAUAAAUGAAGAGGUAGAGGAAGGAGUUACCAUGCUGGUAAGUUCCAAUAUGGACAGGGAAGAGGAAACAAUGUUUCAGGAAAAUAUCCUGGAGGCAGAAGUACAAAGAUUUGUACAUUUUGUAACAAGUCCGGUCACACAGUAUAUGAUUUGUAUAAGAAACAUGAAUUUCCUCCCAAUUAUCUGAGAAAUGUGAACAAUUUCACAAUUAAAGGUAGUCAAGAAGAGUAUGAGGUUACUAGCAAUAGAACCAAAGAUGAAUUUGCCAAUAAAGAGAAAGGUUCAAUGCUACAAUUCAUUCUUGAGCAACAUAGAACUUUGCUUUUUUUCAUCCAAAAAAAACAUCCUUGCAACAGAGUCAUGCUACCAAUUAGUUGAGCAUUAUUCCUGAUGAUUCUGACCUUAAACUUACAUCAAAUGCUCAAACUAGAGGUAAUGUUUAUUUGUUGUCAUGUUUAGCCAAGUCUAGUCAUUGGAUUUUAGAUAUGGGGGCUACUAAUCAUGUGUGUUACACUAUAUCAAACUUCCAUACUUUCAAACAGAUUAAACCUAUUCAUGUCACCUUGCCUAAUGAGAGUCAAAUGUCUGCUAAUAUUUCUAGCACUAUCAUGCUUUCUAGUAGUCUGUACCUCACUAAUGUCUCGUACAUUCCUUCUUUCCAUUAUAAUUUUGCAUCUGUUUCCAAGUUGACACAUAUCAUUCCAUGUAAACUAAUCUUUGAAAACAAUGUUUGUCAUGUCCAAGAGCUCUUCUAUUUGAUGAUGAUUGGCAUAGCUGAGCUCAAAUCUGGCCUUUAUGCAACGAUUGCCUAUGUCACUACAAAAGCCUUCUAGUUGUACCAUGUUUUUUAAUUCUUAUCAUAGCAGUGUAAAUUCCUUUACAAAAUACAAUUCUAAUGUUUGACAUAGUAGAUUGCGGCAUCUCUCACAUCAAAAACUACUUGUAAUGCAAAAUGAUUUUCCUUUUAUUCAAUGUAAUCAGACUUUUGAUCCAUGUCAUAUCUAUCACCUAACAAAAUAGAAAAGAUUACCCUAUAGUGAAAGUAUUUCUAAAUCUUUACAUAUGUUUGACUUAAUUCACAUGGAUAUUUGGGGUCCCAUCUCCACACCUAGUACCUCUAUUCAUAAGUAUUUCUUGACCAUUGUUGAGGACAAAUCUAAGUUAACUUGGUUAUACUUCUUAAGAGUCAAAUCAGAAGUGUCACAAUUGAUUAAGUCUUUUAUUUUUCUAGUUCAUACAUAGUUUGGUAUUAAGGUGAAGUAUGUUAGGACUGAUAAUGGGAAGGAGUUUAGUAUCCCUAACUUCUAUGCCUCACAUGGUAUUUUGCACCAAACUUCGUGUGUUGAAACACCCCAAAAAAUGGUGUAGUUGAGAGAAAACACCAACAUAUCCUAGGGGUAGCAAGGGCACUCAUAUUCCAAUCUAGCAUUAUGUUAAGUGUCAUUUUAUGAAUGAAAUGUAUAUGAUUUUGGGGCACUUAGUGUGUAGUCAUGAUGCAAAUUAUAUACAACUCCCAAGAACUUAGUUUAAUUUUGUCUUGUUUAGGAACUUACAUGUGUUUAUGUCAAUUGUAGAAUAAGAAGCAUGCAAAAAGUGGAGAAAAAGAAGAAGUUUGAGGUUUUGAACACUGCACUCGUCGCCUAAGACACAGCCUCUCCCAAGUAGGAAAAAUGUCCCUCGCCCAAGCAAUGGACUAUCACCCAAGAUACAAUUCAAGGAAACGAGGUCUAAACCAAUACCUGUCCCUCGCCCAAGUGAGGGACUGUCGCUCAAGGGAGAAUCUCUAGCUUAAGCAAGAGACUAGAAGUCUAGAACAUAUAUAGGCAGUUACGAAAAGAAAAAGGGGUUAACCAACCAUUUUCCAAGUUUUUUCACACAAUUUUUAGAGUGAGAAACACUAGGGAGGAGGAGAGAAGUUGUGGAAAUGACUUUAGAUCCAUUAUUUCUUGUAAUUUCUCAUGAGAAGAGUGUUGUAAUGGCAAGGAUGAGUGGCUAGUUCUUCAGUGUUGGGAUUGAAAAUGUAAUCUUCUAACUUGUGUACUCCUGCAUUCAAUUCUUUAAUGUAUUCAUUAUUUGAUUUUGGGAAUUAUAUCCCGCAUUUAAUGCUUGAAUUUAUUUUGCUACUCAAAUUCUUGAUCUUAGAUCCAAUUUUAACUAGGAAGUUGAACUUGGUAUCGAAUCUGGUUUAUCUUGCAUGGUACAUCAUAGCUCUAGGAAUGAACAAUGAUGUAUGAAUUGCUUUUACAUUAAACUUAAGGCUGGAUAAUUGGUUAAAUAUCUAAGGAAUUGAUAUUUGAGUAAUUAUCUAAGGAUUUUGUACUCAAGGAAUUGAUACAAAUGAUUCGAAGAAAAUGUGCAUCAAAAUUUGUAAUUUCACAAGUUAUGCGGAAUUGAAUCUAAGGAUUGCAAAGGGGAAAAAAGAUGAACUUCAAUCCCAACUCAUUUAAUUUCACAGUUUAACUUUUACAUUUUUACAACUUUAUUCAAAAACCAAACGAAUAUCAUAAUCUUAAAUCUGGUAAAUAUAUAUUCAAUCUAUUUCUUUAAGAAUUAGUAUAAAUCCACUCUACUCUUUGAGGACGAUAUCUCAGUAUUUACCAGAUUUUGUUAUUUGAACGAUACGGUUCCCUUGCCAUACCAAAAAUACCAACAAGUUUAUGGCGCCACUACUGGGGAGCAAUGUGUGAUUUGUAUUAGUUUUUGAAGAUAGUUCCUUGAGUAGUUGUAAUUAAUUUUUAUAUCUUGUAAGUAGUUUUAGUUUUUAUUACUCUUUGUGCUAACCCUUGUAGUCUUCUCAAUUAUGCUCUUGAGAGGAAAGGUUACUGAAGAAUAAUUGGAGUUUAAUCCAGAAAUUGAGAAGUCAACCAAGAGUAACCAAAUGAAGGCAAAUGAGAAGAGGAAGUAGGGUAAUCAGGAAACAUAGCGUAGCUCUGAACAAUCAACAAUUUGAGAACCCAAAUUAAAAAAAAAUGGAGAAUGCAAAUAAUGCCACUAGGAAUAAUGAGAGGCAUAAUACUCCAAGGAGGAUUUUAGGUGACUAUGUUAUGUACCAAGGUCUGUGACACUAUUCAAGCAUUGUCAUUCCACAUACCGAAACGACACUGGAGAUCAAGCCUGCAUAUCUGAAUUUGGUCAGUGCUCACUAGUUUACGAGGAAAGAUUAUGAAGAUCCGUAUGCUCAUCUAGACCAUUUUUAUGAGUUGGUGGCGACAAUGGGUUAUAAUGACAAUAAGAGGGAAGCUGCAUAUAUGAUGCUCUUUCCAUUUUUUCUCCUUGGUGAAGCUAGGGAAUGGCUUAAAUCUAACCCUACCCAAAGCUUAACCAAUUGGAGUGAUUUGGAAUCUAAGUUUCUAACAAUAUUCUUUCCACCAGCUAGAUAUGUGCAUGCCAAGUUUGAGAUCUCAACAUUCACACAAGUUAUAGAAUAUGCAUUCUAUGAGGCUUCAGAAUGUUUCUAGAUGUUGUUGAGGCAAUGUCCCAACCAUGGAUUCGAAGAUGUGGACUAGUUGAAUAUAUUUUGUAAUUGUUUGAAGCCUGAGACAAAGAUGAUACUAGUUGCCGUAACAGGUGGCACUAUGAUGGUUGUUGAUGUUGAGCAAGCCACCCAGAUUAUAACUACUUUAUCUUCAACAGAUAGGCAAGCUCAACAUAACAAAAGGACAUUACAGAAAAUCGGGGGUGUUAGGUUUGAACACUUCUGAUGCUAUUCUAGCUCAGAAUAAGAUUCAAACAUAAAAAAUUGAGGCACUCACUAAACAGAUGUCAAAGCUGCCUCAACAACUAAAUAUGGUACAAACUCCUCUAGUUCAUCAACAAGUGUUACGCUGUGAAUUUUGUGGGAGUGAUCAUGCAACUGGUCACUGUUUUAUGCCUAGCAAUAAUCAAGAGGAAAAGGUUCAAUAUGUGAAUAAUCAGCCUCGUCAUGGAAACUUCCCCAACAACUCUUCAUACAACAAUCAGUUCUCACAGGGUUGGAGGGGAAAUCAGAACCAGAAUUAUGGCUGGAGGCAGGAAGAAGCGCCAUCAAACAAACAUCCACCAUUUCAGCAACCAUUCCAACAUGGUCAACAUCCACAAAUGCAUGAAAGACUAACUAAUUGGAAGACACUCUAGAAAGGUUCAUGUUGUUAUGUCCCACGGGGCUCUGCCACUCACCUAGAGGGGGGGGGGGGGGAAUAGGGGAUACGGUACACAAUUACCAUCACUCGAUAAACACAUAAAUUAUACAAAUUAACACACUGUCUAAUUGAUUAAAGACAAACUUAAUCGACUAAAUCAUAUGUUGUUAAUCGAUUUUCUAUACCACUUAAUCGGUUAACUAGUUUAAUUACAGUGUAAACAUAAUUCUUUCGGUCAUCCAAGAUUACCAAGAUUCAAUUAAACUUACAUUUAAUUAUACAGACAAUUAAGAACAGUAAAUGCACUAUACAGAAUAUGCAAGUAUCAGAGAAUUAUAUGCAUGUCAAGUUAAGUAAAUCAAGUAAUGUGGAAAUGUAAAAAGAUAAGGGAAAGAAGAAGAAGACUCAGCUUUUUAUCCUAGUUCGUUUGUUGUUCACUACAAACUACAUUUAGGCCUCCCUUUCUGAUCUUGGGAGAUUUUAUCUUCACUAUGGAAUCUUCAAUGUUUCUUACAAACACAAUUCCAAUAUAAGAAUCAAGACGCUCCUUUCUUGGAUCUUAAACCCCCACUUUGGUUUGACUCUAAAGCUCGCCUACUAGGACACUCAUCGUUCGCGAUUCUAGCCCUAGCCUAAGUAUCGCUUACAACCAAGACCUAUUGCUUCUCGGGAAGACAUGUGCCGAACCAUAGCUAGGGUUUUCCCAAACCUAUUCCCUUUCUUUGGUGAUACAACACACCAACAAAAUGUGUUAUUGCCUAAGUCUAAUAAUAAUUUUUCAAGUUACAUAUGCACCUCAAUGUGUAGAUUAUACAAUCUUCUACAAAUCUAAGAACCCUUAAAUGAUAUCACAAAUACAGAAAUACAAUGUGUAAGAUGCAGGUUUCUUUUUCACAAAUUUGACAAUGAAAGAUCAACGGGUAUCUUUGUAAGAACAGGAUUGCAACUAAGAGGGGGGGCUGAAUUAGUUGACUUAAAGUUUUAGUAAAUUUUUCUGCAAAAUAUUAGACUUAAAGUGCAGCGGAUAAUAUUGCNNNNNNNNNNNNNNNNNNNNNNNNNNNNNNNNNNNNNNNNNNNNNNNNNNNNNNNNNNNNNNNNNNNNNNNNNNNNNNNNNNNNNNNNNNNNNNNNNNNNUUAAGUGCCUGGAAUAAAGUUUGACAGAAAAUACACUCUCCCAACUUUUCUCCCCCUUUUGACUUCAUCAAAAAGUAGAAAAGCCAAGAGUCCAACACAAAGAUAUAUAGCAUAUAUAGCAUACAUGAUGUAUAUCACAGUAUAUGAAAAUUAAUGUAGAGCAUAGAUAAGAUGUUUCAAUCAAGAUAAAGCAUAAAACACCAAAACAUAAACUUGUCCAGCAGCAAGAACAAACAACAAACAACAACCAAGUAAAAUUUUGUCCGAGAUUAAAAAGCAAAUACAACCAGAAAAAUCCUAACAAUAGGUAUACUAAGAUUCAGG